AUCGAGGGAAGAACCCAGCACUGAAAUGACACAAAUGAAAGAAGAGUACUUCUGCUCUGCUGGGUCUGCGACACUACUUAUCCGAGGAGUCCUCAAACAUCAGGAUGUAGGAAGACACAAGUAAAAGGAGAAGAAUGCUGCUCAGCUGAGUCGGCGGUCACACUACUUAUUCAAGAAGCUCUUGGAUAUCAUCGGCAUGUGUGAAGCACAGUCAUUCCGGUAGGCACGGAGUCGUUCCUCGAUGGACGUGAUGACCUGGCACCAAAACCACUUAAUGUGUAUGAAGCUGUGUCUGCAUCGAGGGAAGAACCCAGCACUGAAAUGACACAAAUGAAAGAGGACGUCUUCUCUGCUGGGUCUGCGACACUACUUAUCCUAGGAAUCCUCAAACAUCAGGAUGUAGGAAGUAAGAUCUUUUUUAUGUCAUGCAUAACAGCCCAUGCGUGCAC